AAUGAAAGCACUAAAUCUAGUUAAAGAUUUGUCUAUACUAUAACUAGAUUUAGGGAAGCCGAGGUGUUACGAGCUGAUCAUUACAGAUGGUUAAUUGAGUAUGUGGAGGCAAAGUACGACAUGAGGGAUAGCGUCAUAUUAAACCAGAAAUACGGAUAAAAUUAGGCAAGGUCCAGCACAAGAGACAUACGGCUUGCUGCGAGACGAUCCGGCUGACGCGACGUGUUGCAAAAAUCACACAAGGACAUACUGUGUUUUUAUAAAUUUGCAGCGGUGCACACGAAAUCACAUUGACUGUUUUUUUAAAGUUUUAUACAACAAGUAACGUGAAAACAGAUUACUCAACCUAUAGUAGCAAUACUCGCAGAUAUUUUAGUGAAGUGUCAAUAUUCUUUAUGCAGAAAUACGCAGCACUUGCAGCACUUCAUUUCAGAGCGCAUAGACACAUGUUGUUCGGCACGUUUUACGGACGGAAUGAUUAUCUGCAAAAGCUAUUAGUAUACAACAAAAUUAAUUACUUGAU